GUAAUGGAUGGGUUCUGCAAAGCAGGUAACGUAGAUGAGGCAAACAUAAUAUUGGCGGAGAUGGAGGAGAAGGGAUGCAGACCUGAUAAAUUGACAUUUACAAUUCUCAUCAUUGGGCAUUGUAUGAAGGGGAGAAUGAUGAAAGCAAUGAGAAUUUACUAUAAGAUGCUGUCGGUUGGUUGUGCUCCUGACAGCAUCACAGUCAAUUCUUUUGUCUCUUGCCUUUUAAAGGCUGGGAUGGCUAAUGAAGCCUUUCACAUAAGGCAAACUGCCUUGGAGGGCCUGAAUUUGGGUCUAUCCUCUUUAAAUAGGGCUGUUCCUGCUACAAUGAAUGCAGACAUUCUUGUGGCUGUUUGAUGGAAGGUUGCCAUGUGCUGGGCUUCAAUUUUUUGCGGCUCGACUGAUUGAGUGAUGUCCUUCCACCGUCAUACAUCCUCGCAGUUGCAUAGCUUCUUGCACGAAUCAGUUAUGAAGCUGCUGGGAGGUAGUUCAAUCUGUCCUGGGGCAUGGAAAGUGGUUUGAUGUUGUGAAGAGCUUAUGCACAUCCAGUACAGCAACAUCAGGACUCGGGAGGUAAUACCUGGCAUCACAGCUCAAUUAUGCAGAGAGCUGGAGACAGUUGUUUCGUGUAUAGUAGAGAGAUUUUGAUAGCUAUCUAGAUGUCCCCAUGGAUCAGAAGUCCAAAAUGGAGACUUCUAGCAUCCAAGUCGAAAGUCUCUGGCUUAUGCAUCACUAAAGAGUGAGAUGAUCAGUAAUGAACAAUGCCCUCAGGAAAAAUGAAACGCAGCUGCUAUUGCAAGGCCUUAAUGGUCAUUAGCUUUCUAGAUCCUUUAAUCCUCUGCUCAUUUUAAAUGUAAAUAUCCGCUGUUUUUUAUCAUGCAAAAUAAUUUGUCGGCCUCCCAUUAAUAUGCAAAGGAGGAGAAAUUUUAGCAAGGUCUAGCGAAGGGAUCGAUUUUUGGGUUAUGUUUCAUCGUAAGCUAGAAGGGAAAGGAUCCAACAAUUUAUAUUCUUUUUUUGACCACAUUUAAUCUCACUCUAGGAAGUUAUUAAAUUAUCAAAGGUUUGGUACAAUUCUUUUUCCUUGGGUAAAAGAAUGAGGCAUAUUUCACCA